CCUACGGGAGGCAGCAGUGGGGAAUAUUGGACAAUGGGGGAAACCCUGAAGCAGCGACGCCGCGUGAGUGAAGAAGUAUCUCGGUAUGUUAAGCUCUAUCAGCAGGGAAGAAAAUUACGGUACCUGAUUAAGAAGCCCCGGCUAACUACGUGCCAGCAGCCGCGGUAAUACGGAGGGGGCAAGCGUUAUCCGGAUUCAUUGGGCUUAAAGGGGGCGUAGGCGGGCGUUCAAGUCAGCUGUAAAAUCGCGCGGCUCAACCGCGCCCCGCAGUUGAAACUGGACGCCUUGAGUUCACAACAGGCAGGCGGAAUUCGUGGUGUAGCGGUGAAAUGCAUAGAUAUCACGAAGAACCCCGAUUGCGAAGGCAGCCUGCCGGGGCGCGACUGACGCUGAGGCUCGAAGGUGCGGGUAUCAAACAGGAUUAGAUACCCGAGUAGUC
rnacentral:rRNA from 1 species